CAGAAACAAAGCAACUAAUGAGAACAACCGUGCUGAAAUAGAACAGGAUUGUGGAGAAGUGCAGGAAUUACAAACUCUCAGCCCAGGUCAUGAAGCUGAACCUGAAAAUCAUCCGGUCAGUUAGAAGGGAGACGGCAGCCUUCAGUUCCAGAGGUGACUGUGAGGGCAGGUUCUGUGUCCCUGCUGCAGACUGGAGCCUGGAAAAUCCUUCCCUCCGACAGUGGGAACAUGGUGCUCUGCAGCUGUAACUUGUCUCACCCUGAGUGAGAACAACACUGCACUCAUUUCAGCUCUCAGCUUCCGGUGAGAAAUUCAAUCCUUGAUAAUCUGACAAAAUCCUCAUUGGCACCAGAAUCAUUUUAAGGAAUGAUGAAAGAGGAGCCCAGAGGGGCUCGGUCCACAAGACCUUAUGGGUUUGUCUCUGAUUUAGAUCUCUGGAAGGUGCAAUAACUACAUAAUAUGUGCUUCAGAAGACAGUCCUGACUGCAGUCUGGGACAUCAAACGCAGCUCCCACACACAGCUGAACUGCUUUGCCUGAUGACGACAACCACAAUCAGGUUUAUUGUCACUGUGUUAUGAGAUGAAAUUUGUUGUUUUGUGACAAGAUCACUGCCUCUCAGAUUCCUCGCCUCGGGAUCAUUCAUUGCUGAUCUCUACCACAUCUCACACUUUACUCCUUGCUGCUGCCUGGCUGGAGCCCUGGAGGGUCACCAAGGCCCCUUGUACAACAAGCACCUCUUGUGGUUACUGUUCCCCACCAGAAUGACAAGGUCUCUCUGAGUCCCUCUCCUUUCCCAUCAUUUCCAAUCUGUUUGUGAAGCAGCAGCACUUCCUAUUGCUUGUAUUUGUUUGUGCCAUCGAGGCUGACUUCCCCUGUUGUAGCAGAGAGGUGAAGUCCUGGCAGCUGAGAGAGAUCAAACUGAACAUCCCGAUGUCACCAUUUUCACUCUCGGCCAUGGCAUUGCUCUUCCAUCACACCGGUGUUCAGGAGUUACCCUUUGUACCCUCGCAGGAGUCAGUUGGAACUGGAGUUCCUCUGUUCACCUGUUUACUGGAAUCUGUGCAAUGAAAUCACCCGGCUACAGUUUCAGGACAAUAAUCCCCAUUCAUACACGGAUCGUUAACCCUGAGUAUAAUAAUGAGGCCGGCAUCAUCCAACUCGGAGUGACACAUCAGUGAUGAGCAUUUUCUUCAUCAAUCUACAAACAUCCAACUAUUACUCCUGAGCCAUCCUGAGAAGGGUCACAGAGUCACACAGCACAGAAACAGGCCCUUCGGCCCACCAAGUCCAUGCUGACCUUGUUACCCCUCUCCACUGAUCCCAUUUGCAAUCAUUGUGGGAUCGGCAUCAAAUUUGUAAUUUUCCUGCCCAGAUUGUCUGCUGUUAGUCAAACUGAGGACAGUGUGUAGACUCCACCCCACCUUUGUGUUGUUGUAUCAGACUAAACAAGUGAAUCCAAGCCCAUUUUGUACAAGUAUUAAAACUGCUCUGGCUGUUACACUAAUGCUGUCAUCAGAAAUCCCAUAAAGAUUGUGAUUUUCCCCAGUACCAAUACCAGUUACAGCACUUCCUCACAAAGUCCCUCCCAUUUCUGUACAGUGAGCAGUGAAGCUGCAGUAAAACUCUAUGAGUUUGAAUGUUGUAUUGUAGAGUGAUUUUGGGAUAUUUUAAUCCAAUACUGUAUGUACAUUUGUAUAUUUGUAUUUUAAAUAUGUUACCUGAUGCCUCUUUAUAUGCCAUUGUUGAUUAAUUAAACCACUUCUGU